CUCCCUGCUCCCCGCAGUCCCCACAUGCAGCAGCAGACUAGUGGGUAGAACUGCUGGGGUAUGGAGACAUCCCCAACCUCAGCAGCAGCAAUUCCAGCGCCCCGCCCCCAACCCUCAGGCAUGAAGAGCAGGGUGUGUGGAAACUGUCUAUGGAUGCAUGUCCCUUGAAGUCUGACCUCCACCAGUACAUUGCCUGGGUUAAAUUCCACACAUGUCUGACCCUGAAGCCAGUACUGUGAGUGUCCUUCGGCGAAAGCAAGCCCUCCUCCAUCUCUUCUGUAACUUCCUAGGUACUGGGCUCAUCGAGCAAUUUAAAUCUUUCAAAAUGAUUGAUCAGGGCUUAUCCACUCGAGAUUUUACUUAUGGUUGAUGUUAUUUUUCAAGUCAACGACCAAUUCCAGUAACAGCACUGAUUAAACAUACCCUCUCUCUGCUAUGCACUGAAAUACCAUCUUUCCGGCUUUUUACCUCUGAAUGGACUGGGCAUGGUUGCAGGCAGCUUUGAGCCCAGCACUCUGGAGGCAGGUGGAACUCUGUGAGUCUAAGGCCAGCCUAGUCUAGAAAGAGAGUUCCAGGACAGCCAGGGCUACAUAAUGAAACCCUGUAUCAAAACACAGCCAACAAACUUCGAAAUGGGCCUUGAAUGGCUUUUAUAAUUCUUGCUCUCCUAAUCUACAAACUUGCUGUGUCAAAGCCAUGCAGCUUUUCACGUUAUUCUAUCAGCUUGGUGCAGAGUUUUAGCAACAGGCACAAGUGUUCUACAUCAGUGUUUUUCACAGAUAAAAUGCUGCUGGUGAAAUGGAAAUAUUUAGAAUUGCUUCAACAUAAAUGUUAAAUGCUUUUAUAGGACCCAUGGAAAACCCUGUUGACGUUCUGAUUAAAAUUAAGGUUCUUAUCCCUUUGGAAAUCGCUGACACCCGUGGUUAUUAAUCCCUCCGUUCCAAGGGCAUUUCACACUUCCCCGUUGGUUCAAAGGUGGCUUUUAUAACCUGUGACAAAAUGUCAUGAUUUUCUCUAAGAAGCUCCUCUAACUUUUGAUAGUUUAACAGCUAACUUUACAAUGUAAUAAAAUAGAAAUUCCCCCCAA